GACGAACGCUGGCGGCGUGCUUAACACAUGCAAGUCGAACGGAAAGGCCCUGCUUUUGUGGGGUGCUCGAGUGGCGAACGGGUGAGUAACACGUGAGUAACCUGCCCUUGACUUUCGGAUAACUUCAGGAAACUGGGGCUAAUACCGGAUAGGAGCUCCUGCUGCAUGGUGGGGGUUGGAAAGUUUCGGCGGUUGGGGAUGGACUCGCGGCUUAUCAGCUUGUUGGUGGGGGAGUGGCUUACCAAGGCUUUGACGGGUAGCCCGCCUGAGAGGGUGACCGGCCACAUUGGGACUGAGAUACGGCCCAGACUCCUACGGGAGGCAGCAGUGGGGAAUAUUGCACAAUGGGCGGAAGCCUGAUGCAGCAACGCCGCGUGCGGGAUGACGGCCUUCGGGUUGUAAACCGCUUUCGCCUGUGACGAAGCGUGAGUGACGGUAAUGGGUAAAGAAGCACCGGCUAACUACGUG
rnacentral:rRNA from 1 species